AUACAGGAAUAAUCCAUGAUGAAUUUUAUGUUACUCAGAGACCGGAGUUUGACUUGUGACACUGAUUUACCUGCCUCUUUGAGGUAUAUUCCAUUCCAUGUGGAAACUUACACCUGCCAAAAUAAAUAAGAUUAAGGCACACUGCCAGACCCAAUGGUGUAUGUGGAAGCUGCAAAGAAUCACAUCUGGAUGUUUAUAUAAGGGCUAAGCUAUUCCAGGGAAGGUCAGACCAGCAUGAAGGGGCAAAUCACAGGGAAAACUCACUACAGAGAGGAGUGACAGCUGUCAGAAAGCAGGAGUUACUACCUGGGGCCUGCCCAUUGCCUGGCAGAUGGGUAUACUUACAGUGAAAUAAUUCUUAUGUUCCUGAGAUAUAGGAACCACUACAGAAACAUUUUUUCGAUCUGCAAAUCCAAGUAGUGACUGCUUCAAAACAAGAUAAAGGAGACAUUCAUCUGCUUUAGCCUCCAACUGCUCCUGGAGAGUUUUAUUCCUUCUUGAAGACUUCCCUGGCACAGUAAGUAUUGCCACAACAAGUGGAAGGAAGAACACUUGUUAGGCUAAACUCUUCUUUGAAGCUAUAUCCCCUCCUUAAGCCUACUAUCAGCAUGUGUCACAGUGGCAUUUUGCAAAUCUGCUGUGCAUUCCUACACACCAAAUGUUUAUUAUGCAUUUUAAUAUGUUCUAUCACAACACGGGGAAUAUGCUAAAUUGAAAUCUGUGACAACACAGCUUCUGAGUGACUGUGUAUUUCUUAUUUCUUAGUAGCCAAAUUAGCUUUCUAUGGAAGGUGAUUUAGCCCAGUUCAAUUGAACUAGUUUUGAAAAAUGUCUCUGGCAAACUCCAUUCUCUGCCAGGCCAGGCUGCAGCCUCUGUGACUGAUUUAUUGGCCAUGUCCCUGCUUGCCUGCCUUGGUGUGGUCCUGUAACACCCAUGCCAGGGAUGAAAUCUGCUUCUGACGUGGAUUUCAGGUUAUUCACAUGCCACUCCUAUGUGAGGCUCAGACUGUUCAAAUAUGUGGAAGUCAGGAAGAACUCUGUUAGAACAGAAGAGGUCAAAUGAACAGAAUAACUCAAAAUCAGACAUGACCCAAGAACAGAAAGACUGCCUCCUGUCUGAAAAUUCAUCCUCUUCUCCUUGGAAAUGAGCAAGUCUCUUCCAAGAUAUUAAAUUUAGCUUUAAAAUUUUCCUGUUUAUUAAAACUGCAUAGAGGAAAAGAUACAGACCUAAGCAUGAACUUGUGGUCUUUAGCUAGACUGUAACAGCUAGUGAGGUUCAGUGAUUAGUUUGUUGGUGGAUAAGGACCCUUCAAAACUGCUCCUUGAAAGCAGACACAUUCUUGUCAAGAACUUUGAAGAAGAGAUACUAUCAGUGAUAUCACAAGAGUGAUACAGGGGAAAACCAGAACCCUAAUACAUCAAAGUGUUAAUACAGCAAAAUGCUUCACUGCUUUUCAAAAAGAGCACAUACUGUCUAAUGGGACUUGUGUGCUUGUCGAAGCCAUGCAAAUAGCACACAGAUGUAUAUUAGGCUAGAACAAAAGCAGGAAUUACACUUUUAAUGAAAAUGUGGGUAGAAAGGAAAGAGGAAAAGUCAACAUAAAGCUUGUAUGUGUAGGCAGGAGGAUGAAAAUAGGGAAUUCAAGACAGGAUCUUGGGCAUCAGAUAUGUAGCUCAAUUCCAAAGAGGAUCAGGAGGAUGGAGAAUUGAGGUGAAGAAAGUAAGGGCUGAACAUCUGAGGAGAGGACAACCUCCUCCUUAUUAGAGGAUAAAGAUGUCUUCCCUGAUGCAUGACCCAGCAUAGUGCUAGAGAAGUGGCACUGGUAAAGUUGCUUUUUAUGUUCUCUCAUUUUAAUUUCUAUGUUUGUAUUAUAUUCUCUGUUAUCCUUUAGAAUCUUGCAGUUCUCAUAUGGUUUUAUCUUAGCUUGCUGACCAGCACUAUACUGAUAUAUGAUCUCUGUUAAACUUGGCUCUAUCACGAGCUUUCAGGGAGCUUUCUGGUUCAGCCUCUAUUCUUGCAUCCUGUAGCUAUCAUUGUACUGAAUAUAUGUCGAAUAAGGGUCACAGCCACAGCCAUUGCUGGAGUUAUAAGGUUGGGAUGUGGGACUUGGAACUCCCAGGCCCUGUUUGGGUCUUUGCUUCCUUGUGGUUUUCGAAGCUGAGCAACAUCCCUGGAGCUUCUGAUCACAUACAGGCAAAGGCACCGUUUGGUGUAGCAUUGCUGUUGGCUGUUUCAAUGUUAUUGUAAAGACAGACUCAUUAAAAGACUGUUGGAAGCAUCUCUUGUUCAGAUGAUUCAACUUUAUCUGGAUCUUUUUGGGUUCUCAUUUCAAAAGAGUGUUCCAUUAAAAAAAACAAACAAACAAACAAAAAAACAUUCUAUUAAAUUCAUUACAGAGUUCAAAUAGGAAUCAAAACUGGUUUGGAUUAAACUUUUUGUUUAGCCUCGAACAUUAUUACUUUUUUAAUGUUGUCUUGCUUGCUGAAAUGUUUCUCUUUUUUUCCCCUCAAAUUGCCAGCG